rnacentral:rRNA from 1 species
AUGCACGCUGGCGGCGUGCCUAAUACAUGCAAGUCGAGCGAACAGACGAGGAGCUUGCUCCUCUGACGUUAGCGGCGGACGGGUGAGUAACACGUGGAUAACCUACCUAUAAGACUGGGAUAACUUCGGGAAACCGGAGCUAAUACCGGAUAAUAUAUUGAACCGCAUGGUUCAAUAGUGAAAGACGGUUUUGCUGUCACUUAUAGAUGGAUCCGCGCCGCAUUAGCUAGUUGGUAAGGUAACGGCUUACCAAGGCAACGAUGCGUAGCCGACCUGAGAGGGUGAUCGGCCACACUGGAACUGAGACACGGUCCAGACUCCUACGGGAGGCAGCAGUAGGGAAUCUUCCGCAAUGGGCGAAAGCCUGACGGAGCAACGCCGCGUGAGUGAUGAAGGUCUUCGGAUCGUAAAACUCUGUUAUUAGGGAAGAACAAAUGUGUAAGUAACUAUGCACGUCUUGACGGUACCGAAUCAGAAAGCCACGGCUAACUACGU